rnacentral:rRNA from 1 species
GUGCAGCAGUCGCGAAACCUUUACAAUGCCUGAAAGGGUGAUAAGGGCAUCCUGAGUGCUCCAGCAUUGCUGGGGCUUUUCCGGAGUGUAAAAAGCUCCGGGAAUAAGUGGUGGGUAAGACGGGUGCCAGCCAUUUACAUGGUCUUACAAUUAAAACUCUAAGUUUCAAAGGCAUGUAAACUGGAAGCCGCGGUAAUACCCGCGCCACAAGUGGUGAUCACGGUUAUUGGGUCUAGAGCGUUCGUAGCCGGCCUAAGUAAAUUCUUGGUGAAAUCCCGUGUAAAACAUGGGAAGAGCUAAGAACACUAUUAGGCUAGGGACCAGGAGAGGCUGGAGGGUACU